rnacentral:rRNA from 1 species
AUGCAACUUGUUACUGAUGCUCUGGGCUGCACAGCAGCACCGUUUCCGUGCAAAUAUCUAGGGCUGCCGUUGACCCUUAGAAAACAAACUGCAGCCCAACUCCAAGCUCUAGUGGACAAGGUGGGAGACGAGUUACCUCUCUGGAAGGCGGCCAUGCUUCCGAAGAGUGGACGGUUGCUGCUCAUUGAGUCUGUAUUGUGUGCAAUCCCAGUGCACUCUAUGAUGGCCUUAGACCUGCCGGCGAAAACGAUCUCUGCUCUUGUCAAGAUCUGCCGUGCCUUCUUAUGGUGUGGUAAGAAAGAAGCGAACGGUGGUAACUGUUCUGUGGCUUGGGAAUCUGUCUGUAGACCUAAAUGGGCUGGCGGCCUCGGGAUCCCCAACCUGCAGUGGCUGAACAAAUCCCUCCAGGCCAGAUGGCCGUGGUUGCAGAAGUAUGACAAGGGCAGACCCUGGAGCGAGUUUCGAAUCAAGGUACCUAAAGAAUCUCUGGCACUAGUGCAUGCGGCAGUUAACAUUUCUGUGGGCGACGGGACAACCACCCUCUUCUGGGAGGACAAGUGGCUUCAGGGAUGUCGGGUGCGCGAUCUGCCCCCCCCCCCCAAUGUACGCCAGGAUCUCGACUAG